AUACGUAGGGUGCAAGCGUUAAUCGGAAUUACUGGGCGUAAAGCGUGCGCAGGCGGUUUUGUAAGACAGGGGUGAAAUCCCCGGGCUCAACCUGGGAACUGCCAUUGUGACUGCAAGGCUGGAGUGCGGCAGAGGGGGAUGGAAUUUCGCGGGUCGCAGUGAAAUGCGUAGAUAUGCGGAGGAACACCGAUGGCGAAGGCAAUCCCCUGGGCCUGCACUGACGCUCAUGCACGAAAGCGUGGGGAGCAAACAGGAUUAGAUACCCUGGUAGUCCACGCCCUAAACGAUGUCAACUGGUUGUUGGGGAUUUAUUUUCUCAGUAACGAAGCUAACGCGUGAAGUUGACCGCCUGGGGAGUACGGCCGAAAGGUUAAAACUCAAAUGAAUUGACGGG
rnacentral:rRNA from 1 species